rnacentral:rRNA from 1 species
UACGUAGGGUGCGAGCGUUAAUCGGAAUUACUGGGCGUAAAGCGCGCGUAGGCGGCUUUGUAAGUCAGAGGUGAAAGCCCGGAGCUCAACUUCGGAAUAGCCUUUGAGACUGCAUCGCUUGAAUCCGGGAGAGGUGAGUGGAAUUCCGAGUGUAGAGGUGAAAUUCGUAGAUAUUCGGAAGAACACCAGUGGCGAAGGCGGCUCACUGGACCGGUAUUGACGCUGAGGUGCGAAAGCGUGGGGAGCAAACAGG